rnacentral:lncRNA from 1 species
ACCUCCCAUCCCUUUCAUUUAGAUUCCCCUAGCAAAACUCCCAAUCUUCAGAGCCUCCCCUGGGGUCUGGCUACAGUGUCCUGGGAAGUGGGCCACUGCCUAGAAGUUGGAGGGCCACCUUUCUGUCUCUGGGUCAGGCGCCCCCUGGCCCGGCCCACACUCGCUCGGAGAGCACGGCGGUGCAGCAGGCAAGGAACCCCAGGCUCCCGCCACCCAUCCGCGCCGCAGACCCAAGCUCCCUACCCUUCCCAGCCAGGGAGUGUGGGGAAGACAGAAGCUGUGAACCAGCCAGACUCAGCCCCAGGUGGCUCUUCCCUCCUCCGUGAGACCGCUUGUUUCAUCCUCUCGUCCCUUGACCUCCCCGUGGGCGUCACUUCCGCAGGAAUGGCUUCUGGCACCAGCUCCCCAGAGUCCAGGUAUGAAGACGAAGGCCCAGAGGCCCAAAGGAAUGUGUCCCAUGUUGCCUGGUACCCAGCGGAGUGGAGAAAAAACAGACCACUGGAAAGACAGAAUUAUCUUUCUACUUCCUGUGUGGAAAAUCUGUCAAAUCUUCCUCACACAAAGAAACAAAGAGUAUAUAUAUGGCCCAAAAGGUAGGAAAGAAUUAUAGUGCUGAGAAAUCAAUAAAAAAUAUUAUGUUUCCGGAUUUUGUGAUGUUUGGGCAUUUGUUAAUUGCAAUGAUUUAAAUAUUUGUGUCACCGCCCCCCCCAACUUUGCAUGGUCACCUUCACCCAUUUUGCCCACCAAGAGUUAUUUAUGGAAGUGGUGGCGGUUUUCAUUUAUGGUGAUGACAUGAAGUUUGCUUUUAAAAUAAAAGCAUCUAGGGGCGCCUGGGUGGCUCAGGCAGUUAAGUGUCUGACUUCUGCUCAGGUCAUGAUCUCACGAUUUGUGAGUUGAGGCCCCGAGUCCGGCUCUGUGCUGACAGCUCAGAGCUUGGAGCCUGCUUCAGAUUCUGUCUCCCUCUCUCUGCCCCUCCCCCACUUGCCCUCUGUCUCUCUCAAAAAUAAACAUUAAAAAACAUAAAAUAAAAGCAUCUAGGGAUGCCUGGG